rnacentral:lncRNA from 1 species
AUCCAUACUACAUCAAAAGUCAUCAAAAUCUGCUUUGGCAUCAGUAUGCAUCGACACAAAACAUGUAUGCAUCGAUACAUAUAUUCAGAAUUUCAAUUUUUUUCAAAAAUGGUUCAGGAUGCAUCGAUGCAUCCAUCGCACGUAUCGAUACACAGGCCAAAUGUGAAUAAUAGGCAUCGAUGCAUGACCAUUUGCAUCGACACAUACUGAUGCUAUUUGAAUUAAAUGCAUUU